AUUGAACGCUGGCGGCAGGCCUAACACAUGCAAGUCGCACGCGAAAGUUCCUUCGGGGAUGAGUAGAGUGGCGGACGGGUGAGUAACGCGUAGGAAUCUGUCCCGUAGUGGGGUAUAACCCGGGGAAACUCGGGCUAAUACCGCAUACGCCCCACGGGGGAAAGCGGGGGAUCUUCGGACCUCGUGCUAGGGGAGGAGCCUGCGUCGGAUUAGCUAGUUGGUAGGGUAAAGGCCUACCAAGGCGACGAUCCGUAGCUGGUCUGAGAGGAUGAUCAGCCACACCGGAACUGAGACACGGUCCGGACUCCUACGGGAGGCAGCAGUGGGGAAUAUUGCGCAAUGGGCGAAAGCCUGACGCAGCCAUGCCGCGUGUGUGAAGAAGGCC
rnacentral:rRNA from 1 species